rnacentral:ncRNA from 1 species
CAGGAAAAAAUUUCAUGGAGAUUAUUCCUGUUAAGUAACAGAGUGGAAGAAAUUUAAAGAAUAA